rnacentral:rRNA from 2 species
AAACGGUAGCACAGAAGAGCUUGCUCUCGGGUGACGAGUGGCGGACGGGUGAGUAAUGUCUGGGAAACUGCCUGAUGGAGGGGGAUAACUACUGGAAACGGUAGCUAAUACCGCAUAACGUCGCAAGACCAAAGAGGGGGACCUUCGGGCCUCUUGCCAUCAGAUGUGCCCAGAUGGGAUUAGCUAGUAGGUGGGGUAACGGCUCACCUAGGCAACAAUCCCUAGCUGGUCUGAGAGGAUGACCAGCCACACUGGAAUUGAGACACGGUCCUCAUUCCUACGGGAGGCAUUAAGGGGGAAUAUUGCACAAUGGGCCCCAUGCCUGAAGCANCCAUUGCCACAGAGGUAUNNGGAUGGCCUUCU